rnacentral:rRNA from 1 species
UACAGAGGUCCCGAGCGUUAGGCGGAAUCACUGGGCUUAAAGCGUGUGUAGGUGGAUCGUUAAGUACCUUGUGAAAUCCCACGGCUUAACCGUGGAACUGCUUGGUAUACUGGCGGUCUUGAGCCAGCUAGGGGCUACCGGAACAAAUGGUGGAGCGGUGAAAUGCGUAGAUAUCGGGAGGAACACCAGUGGCGAAGGCGACUACCUGGCCUGUUCUUGACGCUGAGGCGCGAAAGCUAGGGGAGCAAACGGG